GCCCUAGUAGCCUAACAUUAAGGCAUCGGUCUUGUAAACCGAAGAUCAGAGGUGAAAAUCCCCUCUAGAGCA
rnacentral:tRNA from 1 species